UCCUCCGCGUCCAGCUCGGGCCACAUCUCCAUCACCGUGCCGCGCUUCGUGUUCGUCGCCGAGGACGACUCCCCGGGCUCCUCCUCGCGGGGCGCCACCGGGUCCACCCCCGUCGGCCUCGACGCCGCCGUGAUCGCCUCCUACCCCAAGGCGCCCUUCGCCCGGGCCGCCGCCGCCGGCGAGCUCGCCUGCUCGAUCUGCCUCUGCGAGUACCGCGACGGGGAGAUGCAGCGCAUCAUGCCCGAGUGCCGCCACCGCUUCCACCUCAUGUGCCUCGACGCCUGGCUGCGCCGCAGCGCCUCCUGCCCCGUCUGCCGCAACUCGCCCAUCCCCACCCCCGUCACCACCCCGCUCAACACCCCGCUCUCCGAGAUCGUCCCGCUCUCCCAGUACGCCGCCGACCGCCGCCGCCACAGGUGA
rnacentral:rRNA from 1 species